AGUUGAUAACUAAUUAGGUUAGAAUGUUAAAUUUCAACACAGGAAACAAUUUAUGUGAUGUGCACACCAAUGCCCUGAGUUGUCAUGUAUUAUGUAUGCCAAGAACCCUAAUUAUGUUGAGUGAUUGAAUGUUUUUGGUUUGAAUUAUAUUUAUGAGUUUAAAAAGUGGGUUGAAUGGGUCUAAAAACAGUAUUUUUCUUAUUUAGCUUCUUUUAGUUUAAAUGAAAACAUUAUGUUCCCACCCCUAUUUGUGUAAUUAAGGUUUAAAAACAAAAGAUGAUUCUUCUGUAUCAGUUUAGCAGUUUUUGUGUUCUUAUUUAUUAUCAGGGCGCUUUAGUUGAAUAGAUUACAUGGUAUAAUUGCUAAAGAAUUUAGUAAAUGUGCUGAACUCAAAAGUCGUCUAAGUCAAAAUGUGAAAUUGGCAUCUUCUUUGUUUUGUUUGUGAGUAAGAUUUAGCACUUUUUGUAGGCACUUUUUUAUAUAUUUUGUUGAGUUUUUUUGCUGUUAUCUUGCUGUUUUACAAUACUUGAUCACAACUAAUGUUGGGUUCAAAAAAGUUGCACAAGUAAUCCCACCGCCAUUUGUAAUGGCGAAAUUUUAGAAAGCGUAGGGUAGUGUCAGUUUGGUGCAGGAGUUAAUCAUAUGUGCAGGAACAAAUCAUAAGGGAAAAAAACCAAAGGACUGCAAUUUUGCCAUUUGUAAUGGCGAAUUGUGAUGAAAGCCAUUUGUAAUGGUGAAUAUUUCAAAAGCCUGCACAUGAUGCCAUUUGUAAUGGCGAAUUUUUCAAAAGGCUGCACAAUAUGCCAUUUAUAAUGGCGAAAAAAUUGAGAGCCUGCACAUAUUGCCAUUUGUAUUGGCGAAUUCUGCACCAAAGCUGAUGCUCACACUCAUAUCUGCACAUUUUCAAUGUUAUCGUAGAUAAAUUUUGGCGCAAACCUUCAGUUAUCUCACUCUCUGACUUCUGAAAGGAGGCACUGGAACUCCGACCAUCACUCGCCACCGCACCGGAACUCCUUCGCAGAACCACCGUUAAGGUUUACGCAACGAGUAGCACAAGGUCACAAGACAGACAGAACAUAUGUACACUUUACAAGAAUGUGAGUUUGUAAUUUCCGGUCAUCGUCUGUGGUUCAUCGUUUGUACUGUCCAUAAGUCCAUUAAGUCAUCGACGAAUCAAAAUGUGAAAAAACCAAAAAGGAAACUGUUAAAGAUUUCAGAUGCUUCCCCAACGUGUGAUUGGGACUUUCCAAACUGUUCGUGUAAAUAUUUGGAAAUGGCCACGGAAGCUGGUGUUAAAGCUGGAAGUACACCUCUUGUGUGCUGCCUUUGUCAGAGUAAAUAUCAUGAAUCAUGCAAUCUGGAGAUGGAUGACAGGUACUAAACUUUGUCCUUUUGUGGCCACGAGUGCCGACAGCUAUACAACAACUUGCAGAAGCUUGUUGGUGUGAAGCAUGAGCUGGAUUCUGGAGUUUCGUGGGGUAUUAUUCAUCGAUCAGAUGUAUCACUGUUAUCCCAGAAGCUUGUUGGCAGAGGCAUGAUUUUGAAUCAUAUAAACCUAGUUCUUGCUUUUAACACAAAAGGGUGGCGACAAAGUUAUGAGUGCCAACCAAGUCUUUGUACUCCUUCCUGUAAAGAAUGCAGUCGAUGAUGCAUACAUGUAUCCUUGUAUAUCUUGAACCCAUUGCCUUCAUUGUCUUUUUUGCUUCAUAUGUAUUGUUAACCAUUUCGUUACCUUCAGGUAGCAUCUUUUUCAACAAAACUAGAAGUUCAGUAAAGCACUUAUCUGAGACUGCAUGCUUACUCUUCAAGUUGACUAGUUGAACUAAUGCGGACAACUUUGUGAAGUUAAGACAUCCUUUAUAAAGGGGCUUCUCAGCAUCAACGCAUCAACAAGUAGUUCCUGAAGCUUCUCAUAGUCCUCUGUGAAAUUAUCUUCUGUGGCAUUUACCAUUUCUAUUGUUUCCGUGGCAUCUGUUGGAAUUUCGAUGUCAAAAUACUCUGUAUGAAGCACAUCUUUUAACUGGCUCAUGUUAAAUAUUUUAGUGUAAUCGGGGAUUGACUUGGUGAUCAAAGCGAAUAACGAUACACAUCAAGCAAGUUAGGAGGUGCGGGAGUGCACGCUUGUUUGAGUUAUUAUUAUUCGAAGUGUACGGGCGGAACCCGUACUAUACGGGGGUUCCAAGGGGACAGCGCCCCUGCGAGCAGGGUCCAAGGGGCGGCAGCCCCUGGCGGGGUCCAAGGGGUAGAGCCCCUAGCUGGGGUCGAAAAUAAAAUUCAUGAAAAUUUAUCACAAAUUUUAAGAAAAAAUUCAAGGCAGUUUUUAAUGAAUUUUAUUAAAAUUCGAAAAUAACUGCCAGAGGCAGUUAUCUGCAAGAAACCCAAAAAAUUCGCAUUCAGAUUUUGGUCACAAUUCUCUGGUUCAUCAAUUCACGCAAAACACAUACCCAGGGUCAAUUUCUCGAAAUCAGAGUUGUAUCCGAUUGAAUUAUUGGGGUGAACCACCGAAAUAAUUUGAUCUGAGAGUGAUUACACGCCUCUCUGAUCAUCCGGCAAAUCGAAAUUCCCCAACAAAGAUCAAAUUAAUUUAUGUGAAGAUGGCAAGCGGAUCGAUGAAGGAUAUGAUAAUCAAGGAGAACAAACUGGAGAAGUUCGAAGGGGUGGACUUCCGAAGAUGGCAAAAGAAGAUGCAUUUUCUUCUGACUUCGUUGAUGGUUGUGUACAUGUUGACUACUCCAAUCCGGAGAUACAGGAGGAGGAAAAUCUGGAGCAAAUCAGGAAGAGGUCGAAGUGGGAGAACGGCAAUUAUAUAUGUCUUGGCCACAUCCUAACCGGUAUGUCUGAUCCCUUAUUUGAUGUUUAUCAAAAUGUUGAAACUGCAAAGUUACUGUGGGACACGUUGGAAGCCAAAUACAUGGCAGAAGAUUCUUCUAGUAAAAAGUUUCUUGUCAGUAAUUUCAAUAAUUACAGAAUGGUUGAUGAACGGCCUGUGAUGGAAUAAUAUCAUGAAUUGCUACGAA